rnacentral:rRNA from 1 species
GCAUGAAGUCGGAAUUGCUAGUAAUCGCGGAUCAGCAUGCCGCGGUGAAUACGUUCCCGGGCCUUGUACACACCGCCCGUCACACCAUGGGAGCCGGUAAUACCCGAAGUCAGUAGUCCAACCUCGUGAGGACGCUGCCGAAGGUAGGAUUGGCGACUGGGGUGAAGUCGUAACAAGGUACC